rnacentral:miRNA from 1 species
UGCGACCUGAGCUGCUUCUGAGGCC